GCAGUCGGCACUUCUGCUGUUAUCGCGUUCGAAGACAAUCACUGAAUCGUCUCCUAUCAGUCGACUCAGAGCUCUACCCCUGACCUGAAACGCCUCAGCUUUCGUUGGUCAUGGGUUAUUCGAAGGAACAGCUGCUUGCCCGCUUACAGGAGCUUCAGAUUGAGUUUUCCAAGUAUGAACAUCCAGUUGUUUUGACAGUUGAGGCUCAGGCCAAAUAUGUUGGAAACAAGGGGGGAGGGCUAAGUAAAAACUUAUUCUUGAAGGACAAGAAGCAAAGGUUUUAUAUUGUUUCUGCUCUAGCAGAUACCAAAGUAGAUUUGAAAGUGUUAUCUCAGCGGCUCGGUUUGGGGAAAGGAGGUCUGAGAAUGGCGCCUGAAGAGGCUUUAGGUGAAAUACUUAAGGUGCCCUUGGGUUGCGUCACGCCAUUUGCGUUAGUGAAUGAAUCAGCACGAGAUGUCUCGCUUUUAUUGGAUCAACGGUUGAAGGCGCAGCAGCACUGCUUCUUCCACCCUCUAUCAAAUGACAUGUCCAUAUCUUUAAAUGCUCAUGGUCUUGAUAAAUUUCUUACAUCAAUAGGAAGAAAUCCCUCGUAUAUUGAUUUGGAGGCCAAUCCAACUGUGGGAAAAGAUCAACCCCCUGAUCUGGCUGCACUAGUUCCAUCUGGUUCAAUAGUUGUUCCUGAUCAACCUGAAAAGCAGCCUUCUCCACAAAUUCCUAUAGAUAAAAGUCAUGUUUCUGCUGAUAGUAAACCCACUGUGUUACCAGCAAAAGGUGUCAAGCCAUCCGUUAGUGAGAAAAAUACCAAGGGAAAACCAGUCAACAAUGUUCAUUCACAAAGCUCAUUUGCUGAUGUUGGGCAAUUUGUCGAAGAGAUAUUGCAUAAGACUUCAGAAUUAUUGCUUUCAGAGCUUUAUCAUGCAGAUCAAGGAAGAAUCCAUCAAGCAACAUGGAGAUCAGCUGGCUAGUGUGGUAUCUGACAAUCUACGGAAAGGUCUCCGCUCUGAUCUGAAUAACCUUGUCGUGAUGCUCAAGAACACCGCAUACACAGAAGGGUUCCAUGCCGGCGCUCACCAUCAGCCUAAACGCUUAUGAAGGCAAUGACUACUUAAAGCUAUUUAAGAUUCACGGCGUCAAACUGAAUGGCUUAGAAACUUGUCUAUUUUGUUCGGUGCUGUGUGAUGGUGCGAUACUUAGAUUGAACAAUCAUGGAGGAAAAUAUUUGGUUCUGAAGAGGAGAUAAAUUGAACAAAUUUGGUGAGUAUGGCCCAUGCGCAACAGCGCAAGCAUGUCAUUGUGGUGGCGGUCCAAACACAGCUAAAAUUUAUUACAGGAUCUUUUUAUUUUUGGGUAA